ensembl:lncRNA
CUGUCAGACAAAAUGGAAGUAUCUUUGCUUAGAGAUCACCUCCUUUGGGUUGUCUUGUGAGCCCUGGUCCUUGGAAAGGGAUCUGAUUGCUAACUGAAGAACCUGAAAACAACAGAACAACCGGUGCUGUAGAUCUGUUAUGAGGAAAAUCCAAGUUCUGAUCCUGGAAGGCAGUGAAAUCCCGCUCCUUAUGUUAUGAAGGCAUCUUCUGCAUAGAGUCUACAUUGCUUGAUUUAUACACAGUCAUUUGGAGGACCUCCACACUUCUAUCUGUCAUCCCAGGAUGAGGUGUGAACAAUCCAUUUACCCAGUGGGAAAUUAAAGAAAACCUGAAGUAAGGAGAAUAAUCGGAUUGUUUCAGUUCCUGCCUCUAUCAGUUGCUAUUCUGUGCCUCCUCUCCCUGCAGUGCGACACAGAAGAGAUACUCCAGCCCUCUGAUCAGCAUCUCGACCCUUCUCUGGAUCUGGUCCAGCAGCUGCAUAUCCUUCUUGUGCUGGGGGCCCCAGACUGGGACGCAGUACUCCAGAUGGGGCCUCAUGGGGGCAGAGUAGAGGGGGACAAUCCCCCCUAUCUCCUUGCUUGCCACCCCUCUUAUGAAGCCCAGUACUGUUGGUCUCCUGGGCUGCUUUUCUUUUAAAUGGAAACACUGAAAUAUUUCCUGCAUUUUUUUUCCCCUUAGGUCUACUCCCUGUUGCCACAGAUCUAACUAAAAAAGCAUCAGACUGCAGUCUGAUGGAACUGAAAUAAGAUGCAUGGGAUUCUUUAGACUGUUAGCAGGUCACUGAGAAAUAGCAAAAAACAAUAAUCAACUGAAAAUAGGUGAAGUGCAUGAUUACUACAGCCCCACAGAUAACACUUUUCACCUUUAAAACUGCCUGUUAACAAGAGUUGAGUGCAAAACUGCAAACAUUCAUCUCUAAGUUACAUUUUUCUCCACCAUACUACCGUACUUCCUAAAAUGAUUGUUUUUUUUCUUUCUGGUUUGCCUCUGGAGAGGGGGAUACUUUUAAGGCUGAGGACUUAAAAGACCACUGAGGUAGUAAUCAUUGGUUCACACAGUUUCCCUUCCAGCAACUUGCUGUAAGCAAGAACAACAGAAACAAAUAAAUAUACAAGACAAAGAAAGAAACGGAGCCAGAGGAGCGAGCAUUCGUAUUGUCAUUUAGAUGAACUAUGCAGCUAUCUCUCUUGACACACCUAUUCCACAAACGUGUUUCUUCUCAACCUGGUAUUCAUUUUCUGUCCUUCUUCAUUACAUUAGUGAUUCUUUUUCCCCC